AGCAGUGUGGCCUAGUAGGUAAAGCCCGGGCCUGGGAGUCCGAAGAAUCUGGGUUUUAAUCCCAGCUCUGCCA
rnacentral:tRNA from 1 species